rnacentral:guide_RNA from 1 species
AUAUAUAACAAUCAAAUCUGUGUCACGGAAGAUAGAAAUGGAUAAU